GCUGUGGAAUUCUCUCCUGUUUCCUACUG
rnacentral:piRNA from 1 species